UACGGAGGGUGCGAGCGUUGUCCGGAAUCAUUGGGCGUAAAGGGCGCGUAGGCGGCCGGCUCAGUCGGGCCUGUAAGUGCGGGGCUCAACCCCGUGAUGGGCCCGGGACGGGCGGGCUGGGGCGCGGUCGAGGGAGACGGAAUGCCGGGUGUAGCGGUGAAAUGCGUAGAUAUCAAGAGGAACACCUGCGGCGAAGGCGGGUUGCUGGGCCGACACUGACGCUGAUGCGCGAAAGCUAGGGGAGCGAACGGG
rnacentral:rRNA from 1 species